GAUCAGUGAUGAAAGUAGCCAAAUCUGAGAAUGAGAAGAACUUUUAGCCUACCUGAUAUAUCAUCUUUAUAGUUCUGAGA